rnacentral:tRNA from 1 species
GGAGAGAUGUCCGAGCGGUUUAUGGAGCCGGUCUUGAAAACCGGUGAUGCGUUUUGCGCACCGGGGGUUCGAAUCCCUCUCUCUCCGCCA